rnacentral:rRNA from 1 species
CACUGGGACUGAGACACGGCCCAGACUCCUACGGGAGGCAGCAGUGGGGAAUAUUGCACAAUGGGCGCAAGCCUGAUGCAGCGACGCCGCGUGAGGGAUGACGGCCUUCGGGUUGUAAACCUCUUUCAGCAGGGAAGAAGCCACAAGUGACGGUACCUGCAGAAGAAGCGCCGGCUAACUACGUGCCAGCAGCCGCGGUAAUACGUAGGGCGCAAGCGUUGUCCGGAAUUAUUGGGCGUAAAGAGCUCGUAGGCGGUUUGUCGCGUCUGCUGUGAAAGCCCGGGGCUCAACCCCGGGUCUGCAGUGGGUACGGGCAGACUAGAGUGCAGUAGGGGAGACUGGAAUUCCUGGUGUAGCGGUGAAAUGCGCAGAUAUCAGGAGGAACACCGAUGGCGAAGGCAGGUCUCUGGGCUGUUACUGACGCUGAGGAGCGAAAGCAUGGGGAGCGAACAGGAUUAGAUACCCUGGUAGUCCAUGCCGUAAACGUUGGGCACUAGGUGUGGGGGACAUUCCACGUUCUCCGCGCCGUAGCUAACGCAUUAAGUGCCCCGCCUGGGGAGUACGGCCGCAAGGCUAAAACUCAAAUGAAUUGACGGA